rnacentral:rRNA from 1 species
GACGAACGCUGGCGGCGUGCCUAAUACAUGCAAGUUGAGCGCUGAAGGUUGGUACUUGUACCAACUGGAUGAGCAGCGAACGGGCGAGUAACGCGUGGGGAAUCUGCCUUUGAGCGGGGGACAACAUUUGGAAACGAAUGCUAAUACCGCAUAAAAACUUUAAACACAAGUUUUAAGUUUGAAAGAUGCAAUUGCAUCACUCAAAGAUGAUCCCGCGUUGUAUUAGCUAGUUGGUGAGGUAAAGGCUCACCAAGGCGAUGAUACAUAGCCGACCUGAGAGGGUGAUCGGCCACAUUGGGACUGAGACACGGCCCAAACUCCUACGGGAGGCAGCAGUAGGGAAUCUUCGGCAAUGGACGAAAGUCUGACCGAGCAACGCCGCGUGAGUGAAGAAGGUUUUCGGAUCGUAAAACUCGGUUGGUAGAGAAGAACGUUGGUGAGAGUGGAAAGCUCAUCAAGUGACGGUAACUACCCAGAAAGGGACGGCUAACUACGUG